rnacentral:rRNA from 1 species
CUACGGGGGGCAGCAGUGGGGAAUAUUGGACAAUGGGGGCAACCCUGAUCCAGCCAUGCCGCGUGUGUGAAGAAGGCCUUAGGGUUGUAAAGCACUUUCAGAUGUGAGGAAAGGUGUGUGCUUAAUACGUACAUACUGUGACGUUAGCAUCAGAAGAAGGACCGGCUAACUCCGUGCCAGCAGCCGCGGUAAUACGGAGGGUCCGAGCGUUAAUCGGAAUUACUGGGCGUAAAGCGCGCGUAGGUGGUUUCGUCAGUCAGAUGGGAAAGCCCCGGGCUUAGCCUGGGAAUUGCACCUGAUACUGCGGAACUAGAGUACGAUAGAGGGGAGUGGAAUUUCCGGUGUAGCGGUGAAAUGCGUAGAGAUCGGAAGGAACACCAGUGGCGAAGGCGACUCCCUGGAUUGAUACUGACACUGAGGUGCGAAAGCGUGGGGAGCAAACAGGAUUAGAUACCCUAGUAGUC